rnacentral:misc_RNA from 1 species
GGCGGCGUAGCAAAGAUACCGUUGUUUUUGAUCUCAAGCCAGUUAAGUCGCUUUCGACGGCUGAACGGGCAGACACGGCCAAAGUCGCUGAGUUUCUGCAACAGCAUUUCUUGAUUCUCCCGAACCUUCGGAAGUUCCACACCACGCUCAUGGAGCGAACAUACUACGACCUGCUCCGCUUGUUCUCAAAGGCCAUGGAUCAACAGAACGUCGUCCUUAUCGCCUUCGGGUUCUCCUUCGCCGACGAGCACCUU